GGUGUUGAUAAUGGUCGAAUCUGGUUUAAUAAUGUGAGAAUCCCCAGAGAGAAUCUGUUGAAUUCAGUUGCCGAUGUUUCAUCAGAUGGACAAUAUAUGAGUGCAAUAAAAGACCCAGAUCAGAGAUUUGCAGCGUUCCCUUUGACAUCUGGUCGUGUAACUAUUGCUGUUGGUGCAAUUUACUCAUCAAAGAUAAGUUUGGCAACUGCCAUAAGGUACUCAUUUACUAGGCGGGCAUUUUCUAUCACACCUAAUGGACCUGAAGUUCUAUUGCUUGAUUACCCAAGUCAUCAACGACGACUCUUGCCUCUUCUUGCAAAGACAUAUGCUAUGAGUUUUGCUGGAAAUUACUUGAAAAUGAUAUACUGGAAGAGGACACCAGAGUCAAAUAAAACCCUUCAUGUUGUUUCAAGUGCAUUCAAGGCCACCUUGACCUGGCAUAAUAUGAGAACACUUCAAGAAUGUCGUGAAGCUUGUGGAGGACAAGGCUUGAAGACUGAAAAUCGAGUUGGCCAUUUAAAAAGUGAAUAUGAUGUUCAGACUACCUUUGAGGGGGACAAUAAUGUUCUUAUGCAGCAGGUCAGCAAGGCACUCCUUGCAGAAUAUGUAGCCACUCAGAAGAAAAAGAAACCUUUUAAGGGAUUGGGGUUAGAACACAUGAAUGAACCUUGCCCUAUAAUUCCAUCUCAACUGACAAGUACUGUUCUCAGAAGUACCCAAUUCCAGAUUGGUGCUUUCUGCUUAAGAGAGCGAGAUCUUUUGAAUCGUUUUGCUGCUGAAAUAUCACAGCAUCAAGCAAAGGGUGAAAGUAAGGAGUAUGCAUUUAUUUUGGGUUAUCAACUUGCGGAAGACUUGGGCAGGGCUUUCUCAGACCGAGCAAUAUUGCAAACCUUCAUGGAGGCUGAGGCAACUGUAUCUGUGGGUCC
rnacentral:misc_RNA from 1 species